GUGCACCAGGCGCGAAAAUUUUCUCAAUGGGGAAACCCUGAAGGAGCGACGCCGCGUGGAGGAUGAAGGUCUUCGGGUUGUAAACUCCUGUCAUUUGGGAACAAGUUGCACACGUUAACUGCGUGGGCAUUGAUAGUACCAGAAGAGGAAGAGACGGCUGACUCUGUGCCAGCAGCCGCGGUAAUACAGAGGUCUCAAGCGUUGUUCGGAUUCAUUGGGCGUAAAGGGUGCGUAGGUGGCGCCGUAAGUCAGGUGUGAAAUUUCGGAGCUUAACUCCGAAACUGCAUUUGAUACUGCGGUGCUUGAGGACUGGAGAGGAGACUGGAAUUUACGGUGUAGCAGUGAAAUGCGUAGAGAUCGUAAGGAAGACCAGUGGCGAAGGCGGGUCUCUGGACAGUUCCUGACACUGAGGCACGAAGGCCAGGGGAGCAAACGGGAUUAGAUACCCCAGUAGU
rnacentral:rRNA from 1 species